AUCAACCCCUGGGGGAGGCGAGAGCCUGAGAGUCCCGAUUUUAUCGGGAGACCCCAUGAACCUGAUACGGAUAAUGCCGGCGUAGGGAUGGGAAGGCAGGCCGUA
rnacentral:ncRNA from 2 species